rnacentral:rRNA from 1 species
GUCCUCAGUCGGUCCCUUAGUGGGUAGGGCUUCACACGUCAUACAAUGGUCGGUACAGGAGGGUUGACCCAACCCGCGGAGGGGGAGCUAACUCCCACAAGCCGAUCGUAGUCCGGAUCGCAGUCUGCAACUCGACUGCGUGAAGUCGGAAUCGCUAGUAAUCGUGGAUCAGCAUGUCACGGUGAAUACGGUCCCGGGUCUU